GGGAGGAAAAAGGGGCGGACCAACCUCCCGAUUGCUUGACCCCGAGCCACCUCCUCUCCAGCGCAAGGGUCUCUGCAGCGCCCUCUGGAGUUCCAAGCAAGAAAAACCCCAGGAGGCGUUGGCCGCGCUCCGCUCUUGCAUUCUGCAUGCCUGUAAAAUCAGCCCAACAUGGACAACUCCAAGGUCUGCUGACAGCCUGAGCAGUAGCUGGGCCUCUUUGAAUCAUGGCUGCUGCAGCCUCUGAGCACCUGGACAGCUAAACACUGAAAGGAAUCUCAGCAAACAUGAGCUCACCCACCCUUCCCUAGCAGAGUGCCCUGAGGCUCUCUUCUCCAAGCAAAGUCUGAAGACAGAAGUGAAGUUUUGCUGUUUUUCUGGGAUGCCCUGGAGGUCAUAAUACCUGAUACCUACACUCUGAAGGAGGACAGGCUUAUUUUUGGCUCACAUUUUAGAAGCUGCAGUCCUCGGCGGUGGAAG